GUCUAUGGCCAUGCCACCCUGAAUAAGCCUGAUCCCAUCUGAUCUCGGAAGCUAAGCAGGGUCGGGCCUGGUUAGUACUUGGAUGGGAGACCACCUAGGAAGACCAGGUGCUGUAGGCA
rnacentral:rRNA from 1 species